rnacentral:lncRNA from 1 species
AACUGGAUGAGAAAAAUGUCAGGGACACAAGACACCCACCUGGGUUCUAGUGACAGCAUCAAAGACAAAGAAAUGACACUGCAGGAAAGAAGCUUAACUAAUGGCUCUUGUCGUAGCUGACACCCCUAGAGGUUGUGUCCUUCUUAGGCAAGAGGAUCGAACCCAGCCUAUGAAGACCCCAAAGUCUGAGAAUCCUAGCUCCUGACGACCUCCAGGCCACUGUGUCUUCGGGUCUGGACUGCAUGGCAACUCCCGGGAGGGUUCUGUUCUACUCUCGGAACUCGAAGAUCCUGGCCUCACCGUCCCUUCCCUAGCCCGAGCUCGGGGUGUGCAGAGAGAGACCCGCGAAAACCCGGCAAGUCCCCGGCGCGCUCGCCCGGGAGCAGGAUCAGAACGCGCGCGCGUGCGCGCCGGGAGCCCCGCCCCCUCCCUUCAACCGCGCGGCGGGAAAGUAGCCGCUCAUUGCUCCGCUGCUCGCCGCCCCGCCGUCUCACCACCUCAGGGACGCCCGUUGUCGGCCCUGGGUCCUCCGGACACACUCACCCGCUCUCCGCGAGUCCUCUGAAGCCUCGCAGAGCCUGAGGCCCUGAGGUGCGGGGGUCGCAGCCUUUCCCGCCACUCGGCUGAGGGCGACCAGUCUGCGCCUGCGCGGGCGGGGGCGGGGCGGGCGAACGGGGUGGGGCGGGGCGAGCCGGGCAGAGCCACUGGACUCUGGACGAGAGAGGGAGGAUUGGAUAAAGAAGGGAACCCAAAAGGACUGUUUUAUGUGAGUCGGGCAUCUGCGUUAAAGUAAAAACCAAAACGCUAUGGGUUUUCUACUGAAUUAUAAUAAGAAUCAAGAUCGAAUUAAGGGAGAAUUUACAGACGUACUUCCCCUUCCAGUCCAGUGGACUAUUCCAAAGUCUUAAAUGGCUAGUUAGAAAAGAUGUGUUUUAUUUGGGAGGAAGUGGAGAGUUUGAUGUUUGGGAUGGAGUUUUGGGUUGUCUGUCUUCUUAUAGGCAUAUGUUUUAAAGCUGGCAAGGUAUAUACAGGAAGCUCAGAAUAGAAAGAUCUGAAAUAAAUAUUCCUUGUUCGUUCAGGGUCACCUGCGCCCCUGUUGAGACGAUGCUGUUUUACGAACAAAUACAAGAUAGGGCUCCAAAAGGAAAAAAAAAAUCAUCUCCGAAUUAAGCGUUUAGAUUGAGGAGAUCGAUAUCUGGGUCAUGAGGGAGAGUUAGCAGAAAGGAUAGCCGAGAGAAAAGUGAAAAGACAUACAAAAAUAAAAGACUAUGGAGCUAGUGAUAAAAGUACAGAGAUGCCAUUUGCAAAGUUCACUUGCGUGGUGAUCUGGAAAUAAAAUCUUGGAUUCCUCUCCCACCAGACCUCCCAACCCCUGGAAUGCCUUCCCUCCUCCUUUCUUUCUGCUGUCUGCUUCCUGAGAGGAACGACACCCCACCCACCCUCCCCCGUGACCCUUCAAAAAUCAAGGUGCAUAUACUUGAAUGGAAGCAGGGUAAAGGCCAGAAACUCGGGUUCCCUGUGCUCACCAAACUGGGGUGGGAAAUGACAUACAUGUUGACACCUCUUUCCCCUCCCCUAGCUUCUGUGCCCGCAAACUCAGACACGGCCACACGCACCCACAUUCAUAUGAACAGUCGUGCACACACGGCGAGGGGAGCUGGAGCUGGAGCGGGGAGGAAGGGAAGUUUGCACCAACCAGUCGUGAAUGCAACUUAAAAGAUUUCACACAGCAAAAGGGAAAAAAAAAUGAAAAACGUAAGUUAAAAAAUAAAGAAGUACAUGCCCCUC